UUAGAAGGCCAAGAGACUGAAGUCCUCCAUUCCCUCAUAGGACAGGUAGAACAUGGACAACAGAAGUCAAAGUUUACCCCACACCUCCCUGCCAGUGUGCUUCGACCUGGGAGGGGGGCCAUCGCUGGGGUGAGAGGGUAGCUCAUUCACUCAGUCCCUGGCCUUCUGACACU
rnacentral:sRNA from 1 species